GGGUUCCCUACGGGACUCUGAAGGCUGAGGAUAUCCGGCCCGGAGCGUUUGUGCGGCGCGGAGUUAAGCGCCCCGGCAGUAACUUAAGGGAAGUGGACCAGGGUUGCCGCUGCCCAGAGCGGUCCUUUAGUUUCCACUGGAGUGGAGGGAAGAGUGCUGCCAUGGCAGCCCCUGCGCAGCCCAAGAAGAUCGUGGCCCCUACGGUGUCCCAAAUCAAUGCGGAGUUCGUGACCCAGCUCUACAAUGGCAAGAAUCUGGGACUUACUGUUUAUACUGUUUACUUUGCAGUUAGCAUGUAAAUACUGGGCUCCCCACAUCAAGAAGAAAUCACCUUUUGAUAUAAAGGUUAUUGAAGAUAUAUAUGAAAAAGAGAUUGUCAAAUCAAGGUUUGCUAUUAGAAAGAUAAUGCUCUUGGAAUUUAGCCAGUAUCUUGAAAAUUAUCUCUGGAUGAAUUAUUCUCCUGAGGUAUCUAGCAAGGCCUAUUUAAUGUCAAUCUGCUGUAUGGUGAAUGAGAAGUUUAGAGAAAACGUGCCUGCAUGGGAGAUUUUUAAGAAGAAGCCAGACCACUUCCCAUUCUUUUUUAAACACAUCUUGAAGGCGGCAUUAGCUGAAACUGAUGGUGAAUUUUCACUUCAUGAACAGACAGUCUUACUACUUUUUCUUGAUCA
rnacentral:lncRNA from 1 species